UUCAGUUAACCUAAUUUCAUUUUUAUUAAGAGCAUUUCAGUACUUUCGCAUGCAUAAUUGGGUGUCAGUCUAAUUUAAUUGGGUGCAGGGAGAAUCAUCCUACAUCAAACCCAAAGUAAAUAUCCAGAGAAAAACAAAAGAGUGGCUUUUGCUUUUUACAGUCCCUAAUUACUGUCCGCACCUCCAUAAUUUUUAAAUUGCCUCUUCUACCUUUUAUGCUUUAUUUCAAAGGAGCUACUUCAUCACUUUUCUUGCUUACGUGUUCCGGUUUGAUGGUAGUUUAAAGUUAG
rnacentral:lncRNA from 1 species